rnacentral:lncRNA from 1 species
ACCCACAGCCUCUUGAUGAACCGGAGGAAGUUUCUUUACCAAUUCAAAAAUGUCCGCUGGGCUAAGGGUCGGCGUGAGACCUACCUGUGCUACGUAGUGAAGAGGCGUGACAGUGCUACAUCCUUUUCACUGGACUUUGGUUAUCUUCGCAAUAAAACGGCUGCCACGUGGAAUUGCUCUUCCUCCGCUACAUCUCGGACUGGGACCUAGACCCUGGCCGCUGCUACCGCGUCACCUGGUUCACCUCCUGGAGCCCCUGCUACGACUGUGCCCGACAUGUGGCCGACUUUCUGCGAGGGAACCCCAACCUCAGUCUGAGGAUCUUCACCGCGCGCCUCUACUUCUGUGAGGACCGCAAGGCUGAGCCCGAGGGGCUGCGGCGGCUGCACCGCGCCGGGGUGCAAAUAGCCAUCAUGACCUUCAAAAUUAUUUUUACUGCUGGAAUACUUUUGUAGAAAACCACGAAAGAACUUUCAAAGCCUGGGAAGGGCUGCAUGAAAAUUCAGUUCGUCUCUCCAGACAGCUUCGGCGCAUCCUUUUCCCCUGUAUGAGGUUGAUGACUUACGAGACGCAUUUCGUACUUUGGGACUUU